UAAAAGUUUAAUUUAAAAUAUUUAAGUAGUAUUAGUUAAGGUCUUUAAAUUUAAAAAAUUUGGCGGUAUUUUAGUCUAUUCAGAGGAACCUGUUUUUUAAUCGAUAAUCCACGAUGGAUCUUACUUAAAUUUGUUUAGUUUAUAUAUCGUCGUUAAAAGAAUAUUUUAUAAGAAUAAUAAUUUUCUUAAUUUUUAAAUUUAAAAUAUAUCAGAUCAAGAUGUAGCUUAUGUUUAAGUUUAUAAUGGGUUACAUUUAUUGUAAUAUUGGAAAUUAAUAUGUAAUUUAUUAUUUGAAAUUGGAUUUGAUAGUAAAUUUAUAUAGAUUAAUAAGUUGAUUAUAGCUCUAAAAUAUG
rnacentral:rRNA from 1 species